AUGUUGGAGAAGUAUCACUCUUCUGCGGGAAUAUCAAAUGCUGCUUCAGCUUCACAAGAUGAAGUUUUUUACAUAUUUGAACGGUACAUGUCUGCACAACCUACUGCUUCAUCUUUGUUGGUUCAUACAGAGCUAGACAUGUAUUUAGAAGAGCCAACUUUGCCAAGAGCACCUGAUUUUGAUAUCAUCAACUGGUGGAAGUUUGGAGGGAUAAAUUAUCCAACUCUACAGCUUAUUACUCAUGACAUCUUGCCUAUUCCGGUCACAACAGUAGCAUCAGAAUCUGCAUUCUCUAUAAGUGGUAGAAUCCUCUGCCCUCACCGCAGUAGGCUUGCACCAAAGAUGGUAGAAGCUAUAAUGUGUAUGCAAGCUUGGUCUAAUGCUGAUAUGCUAGGUAAGACAAUUCAAAUCUUGCUCUUUUGCUCCUAUUUUACUGCUGGUUUGUUGUUCCUACACCACUUUUUUUUGCUUACAUAA
rnacentral:rRNA from 1 species